rnacentral:tRNA from 1 species
AUUUUAGUAGCUUAAUGAGAGUUUAAUAUUGAAGAUAUUAAGGUAGUCUUAAAGACUUUA